GAUGAACGCUGGCGGCGUGCCUAACACAUGCAAGUCGAACGGAGAUUACGGACGGAAGUUUUCGGAUGGAAGCCUGUAAUUCUUAGUGGCGGACGGGUGAGUAACGCGUGGGCAACCUGCCCUAUACAGGGGGAUAGCAGCUGGAAACGGCUGGUAAGACCGCAUAAGUCGGUUAAAUCGCAUGAUUUGAUCGGGAAAUGAGCAAUCAGGUAUAGGAUGGGCCCGCGUCCGAUUAGCCAGUUGGCAGGGUAAAAGCCUACCAAAGCGACGAUCGGUAGCCGGACUGAGGGGUCGGACGGCCACAUUGGGACUGAGACACGGCCCAAGCUCCUACGGGAGGCAGCAGUGGGGGAUAUUGCACAAUGGAGGAAACUCUGAUGCAGCGACGCCGCGUGAGUGAAGAAGUAUUUCGGUAUGUAAAGCUCUAUCAGCAGGGAAGAUGAUGACGGUACCUGACUAAGAAGCCCCGGCUAACUACGUG
rnacentral:rRNA from 1 species